GGGGAAUGGUUUCAUGAGUGGGGUCAUCGGGUGAAGUGGACAAAGUUUCAGAAGUGGGGUCAUGGAGUGAAGUGGACAAACAAUGUCAGAUGUAUUCUGCAGUCACAAGGUGCAGGAGGACGGGAGGGUUACUCAGGAUGACGUGAGCGCCGAAUUUGGGAAGCAACAAGUGACUGACCAAUGGAGAGUACAGAAACACAGUGAAGGGGGAGGGAAUGCUUGUUUAACCUUUCUUUGCUCUUUAAAAGGCAGGCGAGAAAUGUUGCUGUCCUUUUGCCCUGACAGUUAAAUCAGUUGAUGGGUGCAGUGACAUUCAGAGGGAUGUAUAAUUGCCAUUAUCCUCCUCAAUUAAGUUGUGCAAACGAGGCUGUGAUGGAAGGAGUGUGUGGUCCCGCUGAGAGGAAUUUCUCAGGUUCCUUCCCCGUCGUCUUCCAACAGUUACUCCCUUCACCUGUUCGCUGAGGAGG